AAAAAGUAGCCUCCUUUGGAGGUGAUAGUGAAAAGGCGGGGUAAGAGCCCACCGGCGUGGCUGAAACGACACGCGCUUAGGUAAACCCACCCCGGAGCAAGAUCAAAUAGGGAAUCGACGGGCUGCCCGUCCGGCGACGUGCGCUUUUAGCGCAGUCUUCAGAUUCCGGGUUGAUUGCUUAGAUGAAUGACCAGACCUCUUGGCGACCCCAAGAGGGAACAGAAUCUGGCUUAUUCGCUGGCGCAUCGC
rnacentral:RNase_P_RNA from 1 species